AGAGUUUGAUUCUGGCUCAGGAUGAACGCUGGCGGCGUGCCUAACACAUGCAAGUCGAACGAAGCAAUUAAAAUGAAGUUUUCGGAUGGAUUUUUGAUUGACUGAGUGGCGGACGGGUGAGUAACGCGUGGAUAACCUGCCUCACACUGGGGGAUAACAGUUAGAAAUGACUGCUAAUACCGCAUAAGCGCACAGUACCGCAUGGUACGGUGUGAAAAACUCCGGUGGUGUGAGAUGGAUCCGCGUCUGAUUAGCCAGUUGGCGGGGUAACGGCCCACCAAAGCGACGAUCAGUAGCCGACCUGAGAGGGUGACCGGCCACAUUGGGACUGAGACACGGCCCAA
rnacentral:rRNA from 1 species